rnacentral:rRNA from 1 species
GACGAACGCUGGCGGCGUGCUUAACACAUGCAAGUCGAACGGAAAGGCCCUGCUUUUGUGGGGUGCUCGAGUGGCGAACGGGUGAGUAACACGUGGGUAACCUGCCCUUGACUUUGGGAUAACUUCAGGAAACUGGGGCUAAUACCGGAUAGGAGCUCCUGCUGCAUGGUGGGGGUUGGAAAGUUUCGGCGGUUGGAGAUGGACUCGCGGCUUAUCAGCUUGUUGGUGGGGUAGUGGCUUACCAAGGCUUUGACGGGUAGCCGGCCUGAGAGGGUGACCGGCCACAUUGGGACUGAGAUACGGCCCAGACUCCUACGGGAGGCAGCAGUGGGGAAUAUUGCACAAUGGGCGGAAGCCUGAUGCAGCAACGCCGCGUGCGGGAUGACGGCCUUCGGGUUGUAAACCGCUUUCGCCUGUGACGAAGCGUGAGUGACGGUAAUGGGUAAAGAAGCACCGGCUAACUACGUG